UUUGGGAAGAGGAGGAGUGGUGUGGGGUUUGUAUUGUUUCUGGCGAUCGGUAAUUUCGCGUGCGGAGCUGAGUGGACGCGGCAGUGUGCGCGCUUGGAGCGUGUUAGGCAGGUGUGCCCUGCCCUCUCCUGCUUACGUUGAUCUUAUUUGAUCGGGUCGUGACCCCAGCCCCGCUGGUCCGACCCGAAAUGAAAAGCUCUCCUCCUGCGAAGCCCCCUCCUCGAGCGCUGGCUGCAGAGGCCCUUAGGCAACGGCAGCGCUGCUUGGUCCCCGAGGUCCCGGAGCUGGCCCUGCAGGCGGCGCUCAGAAGUGAUGAAUUGAUCAGAUAGACGGGAGCCAGGCUUGUCCCCGGCCACUGAUUAUCAGAAGUUUGAUUCUGAUCUGG